rnacentral:misc_RNA from 1 species
UUUCCGUAGGUGAACCUGCGGAAGGAUCAUUAAUGAGUUGUCAUGGGGUUCGAUGCUGGCAGCCAAUUUUUGGAUGCAUGUGCUUGCCCUAACAAUCAUCUUCCAAACACCUGUGCACAUUUUUGAGGGAGUCUUGAGUUGGUUGCCGCUCUUGGGUGAUUUUCUCACAUUCCCUUAAAUCAUUAUACGCUAUUAACAUGUUGAACGUGCUCUGUGCCGCAAGGCUAUUAAUAUAAUACAACUUUUAACAACGGAUCUCUUGGCUCUC